rnacentral:pre_miRNA from 7 species
AUCUAGGAAGAUAAAGGGGGAAAUGAAGGCAGUGGUCCUGACAUUGAAAGACCUCCAAAGUGAGACCCUCACUCAAGUCUCGGGAUAAUAGCGGACCCCCAAGAACUCACGAGAGACC